AGAGAAGGAGUGAGGCAGUUGUAGUCACUCUGAAAUUAGGUAACAAGGAAACCAGAAGACUUGAGGAGGAAAUCUAGGGGGAGAAUAAGCCCUGAGAUCCUCUCUGAAUUAGAAAAGUCUGGCAGAAGGCCUGGUGAGAGAUGAACCAGUCAUGGAAAGUGGAGCAAGCUCUGUUGCUUCCAUAAUAAAGUGAAGCAGCAUCAGACUAGAUAUUGAGAGGACAACUCCAGGAAAACUAGAACUCUGGGUCUUUUUACUGCAAUGAGGUCCUCAUAGGCAAAGAGGUCUGCCUGCACAGAGGUACUGCAACAUUGAGGCCCAGAUCAUUUUCUCUCUGGCUUUGGAUACUCUUCUUCUUUUUGUUAAGAUUACUGAUGUAGGGCUAAUUUUACAGAUGUUCCUGGAGGGAGGAAAAAACCUCUGCAACAUCUAAGGAGAGACAAAAG